rnacentral:rRNA from 1 species
ACAAGCGGUGGAGCAUGUGGUUAAUUCGAAGCAACGCGAAGAACCUUACCAGGCCUUGACAUGCAGAGAACUUUCCAGAGAUGGAUUGGUGCCUUCGGGAACUCUGACACAGGUGCUGCAUGGCUGUCGUCAGCUCGUGUCGUGAGAUGUUGGGUUAAGUCCCGUAACGAGCGCAACCCUUGUCCUUAGUUACCAGCACGUUAUGGUGGGCACUCUAAGGAGACUGCCGGUGACAAACCGGAGGAAGGUGGGGAUGACGUCAAGUCAUCAUGGCCCUUGCGGCCUGGGCUACACACGUGCUACAAUGGUCGGUACAAAGGGUUGCCAAGCCGCGAGGUGGAGCUAAUCCCAUAAAACCGAUCGUAGUCCGGAUCGCAGUCUGCAACUCGACUGCGUGAAGUCGGAAUCGCUAGUAAUCGUGAAUCAGAAUGUCACGGUGAAUACGUUCCCGGGCCUU